ensembl:snRNA U6 U6 spliceosomal RNA
GUGCUCGCUUUGGCAGCACAUAUACUAAAAUUGGAACAAUACAGAGAAGAUUAGCAAGGCCCUUGCACAAGGAAGACACACAAAUUCAUGAAGCAGUCCUAUUUUCG